AACGUAAUAUAAUGGAAGUUGCUCGUACUCGGUUAUAGAAACUGAGCAUUAGAGAAGGCGUGUGCAAAUUAGACUUGGGUCUGUGCAGGUUACAAGAAAACAAAACUGUGUUGUCAUCUUCUUGGCUUUACACAUUAUCAUGCAAUCCCAUCUUGAAGCUGGAGGCAUGAGGAGGCCGUGGAAUUAUCAAGGUGAUCGAGCGGGACCCAGUUCUAGAGGGGGAGGGAGAAUCCGGGGUAUUCGGGCAAGGCGCCAUGUACCCUACUCGGCUCGCCACAACCGACCAUGGGGAGCAAAAAUCUCCUCAUAUCAUAGCCCUGAGGAGUGUAAUCAAGAGUCCUCGGAUGAUUCCACACAGCCCCCAAGCCCCCCACCAUCCACCAACCCAAUUCCCACACCAGCGCCUAUUCGACAACCCUCACCGG